rnacentral:sRNA from 1 species
AUUUAUAAGUUUUUACUUUUCUGAAAAUUUUAAAUUUUAAUGAAUUAUUUCUUAUUAAAUUAUUUACGAUUUUAAAGGAAAGAUAGUAUUCCACAAUUUUCUGGAAUACGCAAUUUUUAAAUUUUACGGUUUUGACGGGAAAAAUACAAUUCUCCGAUUUUACGAUUUUGACGGAAAAACGUAAUUCUGCAAAUUUUCCACCAAAAUCGUGAUUUUAUUAUAUUGGCGAGAACACAAUUUUACGGUUUUGACGGGAAAACGCAAUUCUCUGAUUUUACGGUUUUGGCGGGAAAACACAAUUUUCCAGCCAAAAUCGUGAUUUUAUUAUAUUGGCGAAAAACACAAUUUUACAGUUUUAGUGAGAAAACACAAUUCUCCGAUUUUACGGUUUUAGCGGUUAAAUCGUUAUUUUUUUGUAUCGGUGAAAAAAAUAAUUUUACGAUUUUACCGUUUUGGCGAAAAAAGCAAUUCCAUAAUUUUUUCGUCAAAAUCGUGAUUUUAUUGUAUUGGUAAGAAAAACACAAUUUUACCAUUUUGUCGAAAAAAGACAAGUCUUCGAUUUCUACAAUUUUUACGGAAAAAUGCAAUUUCUCAAUUUUUCUUUAAAUUUAUGAUUUUUGAUUUAUCAAUAAUAACAAUAAUAAAAUAGGCUAACCAUGGGCUUGCCAUAUGGACAUGGUCUUUAUUGGGCAUGGACAUUUUUCGGACCAAACCGUCCAACUUGGCCCAUAAAAAAACUGUCCGUACGGACACGCCCAAUGGUCUUUGGACGGACCAUUUGACACAUCUAGAAACAACCGUCAGCAGUAGCCAUUCGUUAAGAGUUUCAGAAUUCCGAUAUAUACAUUUUGAUACAACCUACACAAAAACAAAGACAAAGAGAGAAAAUCCAACUAUGAGGAGGAUUAUCUUGUUGAUAGUGCCAUCAAAAACAAGAGUUAGUUAUUCACCUGAAGGUUUGGCUAAACAAAGUAUAUUAUCUCUUUUCAUAUACCUGUCAAUUACAUCUUGACGCUGCAUUGUCAACAAUAGAGACCUCCUAUGUCCUUUGUAUUCACUCUUGGCUUUCUUAAGUACUCUAGUAGAUUCAUCUACAAAUGUAAACAUGGUUGUCUUCGCCGCGAGGUCGUUUGCAUGUUCUUCUUUUACUUGUUUCGUUUCAGUUCGUUCUUGAUCCUGCAAGAUCGGGCGUCUUCUCAUUGCGGCGUUAGUUAAUUAAAGUAUUUUGUGCAAAAAAAAUUUCCGUCCAAUUUUGCAACUUUAUACUCUAUGUCCAAAAAAAAC